GGGGUUGUGUCCCAGUGGUUAAGGAGCCUGCUUUGCAAUACUAAUUGACUUUAAGCAGGAGAUCCAGGGUUCGAUUCCCUGCAACUCCA